GAUGAACGCUGGCGGCGUGCCUAAUACAUGCAAGUCGAGCGAACAGACGAGGGUCUUGCUCCUCUGACGUUAGCGGCGGACGGGUGAGUAACACGUGGGUAACCUACCUAUAAUCCUGGGCGAACUACGGCAACCCGGAGCUAAUACCUGCUAAUAUUUUUACCCGCAUGGUUCACUAGUGAAAGACGGGUUUUCUGUCACUUAUAGAUGGAUCCGCGCGGCAUUAGCUAGUUGGGAAGGUAACGGCUUACCAAGGCGACGAUGCGUAGCCGACCUGAGAGGGGGAUCGGCCACACCGGAACGGAAACGAGGUCCAGACUCCUACGCGAGGCAGCAGUAGAGAAAGUUACGCAAUGGGCGAAAGCCUGACGGAGCAACGCCGCGUGAGGGAUAAGGGGCUUCGGAUCGGAAAUCUCUGUUAUUAGGGAAGAGCAAAUGUGUAAGUAACUAUGCACGUCUUGACGGUACCUAAUCAGAAAGCCACGGCUAACUACGUG
rnacentral:rRNA from 1 species